rnacentral:rRNA from 1 species
AGUGAACGCUGGCGGCGUGCUUAACACAUGCAAGUCGAACGAGAACGGAUUAUAGCUUGCUAUAAUUGUCAGCUAAGUGGCGCACGGGUGAGUAAUGUAUAGGUAAUAUGCCUCUUACUAAGGGAUAACAAAUGGAAACGUUUGCUAAUACCUUAUACUCCUUAUUAACAGAAGUUAAUAAGGGAAAGAUUCAUUGGUAAGAGAUUAGCCUGUAUUGUAUCAGUUAGUUGGUGGGGUAAUGGCUUACCAAGACUAUGACACAUAACUGGUAUGAGAGGAUGAUCAGUCACACUGGAACUGAGACACGGUCCAGACUCCUACGGGAGGCAGCAGUGGGGAAUAUUGCACAAUGGACGAAAGUCUGAUGCAGCAACGCCGCGUGGAGGAUGACACAUUUCGGUGCGUAAACUCCUUUUAUAUGAGAAGAUAAUGACGGUAUUAUAUGAAUAAGCACCGGCUAACUCCGUGCCAGCAGCCGCCGUAA